rnacentral:rRNA from 1 species
GAAUGCCUACGGGGGGCAGCAGUGGGGGAUAUUGCACAAUGGGGGGAACCCUGAUGCAGCGACGCCGCGUGGGCGAUGGAGUGCUUCGGCAUGUAAAGCCCUAUCAGCAGGGAAGAAAAUGACGGUACCUGACUAAGAAGCCCCGGCUAAAUACGUGCCAGCAGCCGCGGUAAUACGUAUGGGGCAAGCGUUAUCCGGAUUUACUGGGUGUAAAGGGAGCGUAGGCGGUUCUGCAAGUCUGAAGUGAAAGCCCGUGGCUUAACCGCGGAACGGCUUUGGAAACUGUGGAACUGGAGUGCUGGAGG